GCAACAAUCACCAUGUAUUUUUUCAUCUCCUCAUAAGUACCCAACAAUCUUAUAUAGCAGCGGCCAACAAUCCAACCGCACCAGUCGUACAUCGCUUAACUACAACUUAAACAGAAUUAGCAACCGUCGUCCCAUCAACAGCCGGAUGUAUUUGAGUAUUCCAAUUCCCUCCUGAGCUUUCCUGAGUCUUUCCUGAGCUCGUGAAACAUCAAAUAAUGGAAUGCUUAGAAGAUCACCGUAACACUUACUACCAUCUUACAAACAGUAAAUCCAUACAAGUACAUCCACCAAACCAACAUGGAAUUUGGAAGCUGUCGCAGGACAGUAGUGAAGGUUUACUUCCCGAUGGAGACGGUGGGGAUGGGGAAUAAAUCAAGAUCGGACUACGACACUCACGGCAUUUCAACCAGAAGCAUCACCUACCCAUAGGAACUUUUAUAACCGGCUGAUUGAUGCAAAUAAUGCUAAGUCAUAACUUUCGUUCUAUUGAAGAGGAAGACGGCAAGACU